rnacentral:tRNA from 1 species
GCCGAUGUAGCUCAGGGGUAGAGCAAUUGAUUCGUAAUCAAUAGGCCAGCGGUUCAAAUCCGCUCAUCGGCU